GUAUAAAUGUUUGAACUGUGCAGACUUCUUGUUGUGAGAAAAAAAGCCUGCAGCCAAUGAGAUAGAAAUGGAGAGAAGGGCAAUAGCAGCUUGCACAUGUCAAGGAUCUGCAGCGCAUGAAACCCCUUAAACUGAAGAUGAUGUUCCUGAAGCCUAGAGAUGUCAGCACUCGCAGUCAGCCGCUUUAUCAUCCAUUGCUCCAUUAACCUCAUCCACCUGGUCAACACAAUUCAAACAUACCAGAUACAGACUCAGUUAAAACAGAUAUGGGUGCAAGUCAUG